GACGAACGCUGGCGGCGUGCCUAAUACAUGCAAGUAGGACGCAGUUGCGAACGGGAGAGUAACGCGUAGGUAACUACCUGUUCAAGGGGGAUAACUAUUGUAAACGAUAGCUCAUACCGCAUACUAGUAGAUUGACCUUCGUUGUAUUAGCUAGUAGGUAGGGUAAUGGCCUACCUAGGCACCGGUACAUAGCCGACCCGUGAGGGUGAUCGGCGAACAUGGGACUGAGACACGGCCCAGGCGACUUAGGGGGGCAGCAGUAGGGAAUCUGCGGCAAUGGGGGGAACGCUGACCGAGCAAAGCCGGGUGAGUGAAGGAAGUUUUCGGAGCGGAAAGCUCUGUUGAUAAGGAAGCGGUACUUAACCAGAAAGGGACGGCUAACUACGUGCCAGCAGCCGCGGUAAUUC
rnacentral:rRNA from 1 species